rnacentral:rRNA from 1 species
GUAAGCAGCCAUAUCACCCUGUAGGUCUCAACUGACUACCCUCCUGAAGCUCAGCAGGUGUGAGCCUGGUCAGUACCUGGAUGGGAGACCUCCUGGGAAAAACUAAGGUUGCUGCUGGAA